CUAGAUGAUCAAAUGGCUGCCUUUUUUAAGGAGGAAAGUCCGGACUUCAUAGAGUAACAAUGCCGGAUAACUUCCGGCGAGGGAGACCUCAGGGAAAGUGCAACAGAAAAUAUACCGCCAUUUUUUGGUAAGGUUGAAAAGGUGAGGUAAGAGCUCACCGCAUUAGCGGNAACACUAAUGGCUUUGUAAACCCCAUUGGAAGCAAGUCUAAGUAUGCAUUGUCAUUAAAUUGUCAGACGAUACUCUACGUUAUGCUAGGUAAGACGCAAGAAAUAAUUGGUAACAAUUAUUCAAGAUGAAUAGCCAUUGCCUAUAAAUUGGUACAGAAUCCGGCUUACAGAUCAUCUAGUUUU
rnacentral:RNase_P_RNA from 1 species